AUCCCAGAUAAAAGUUUUUGUGUUUACCUGAUUCAUGGGGCGCAUGGGGCGCAGAUAUAAAUAGUGGUAGUUCGCUGAUAGCACCUUAUGUCUUUACAAGGUAUGCUAAUAGUACCUUACCACACAUUC